UACGGGGGGGGCAAGCGUUGUUCGGAAUUACUGGGCGUAAAGGGCUCGUAGGCGGCCAACUAAGUCAGACGUGAAAUCCCUCGGCUUAACCGGGGGACUGCGUCUGAUACUGGAUGGCUUGAGGUUGGGAGAGGGAUGCGGAAUUCCAGGUGUAGCGGUGAAAUGCGUAGAUAUCUGGAGGAACACCGGUGGCGAAGGCGGCAUCCUGGACCAAUUCUGACGCUGAGGAGCGAAAGCCAGGGGAGCAAACGGG
rnacentral:rRNA from 1 species